CUCAACUAGCCGGGGCUAAGCCACAGUACCCUGUGGCAGAGAUGGUGAACAAAGGUCUCCGAGUGGUACCUGUAGCACUGUAUUCACAACCUUUCCGAAAACUAUUGUAGCUUCUGACCUCCUCAGCCGCACUGCUGGAAGCCUUCUUCAGGAUCUUCCACUAAGGUACCGAGGAUAGGCUACACGCUGGGUUAUUUCUGGAGCGGGAUAUUCUAGGGCUUCCAUGUCAAUCUAAAUAAUAUUAGUGACAUUAGUUUUCUGCUUCUUAGCUUUUCUAGCCUGCACCCAUUUAACUCCAUCCACGUAUGGGAGCCUUCAGAUGGCUGAUGUAAAGGAACUGGGUAGGGGUGCAGGCGUUUGACAGAGUCCAGUGCAACAACAGUAAUGGGAAACUAUAAACAAUCAAGUGAGAGUGGGAAAGAGACAGCGGAAACAAAACAAAACAACAAAGUCAGUCGCUAUGCAAAGAAAUGGUUAAAAGGCACUUACCCAACCGAAAUUCAAUACUCUGGUUGAACUGAUGUUCAUGUCUUUAACAGAUAAGGGCAUAUACUCAGCUGCCUAAGUCCAGAUCAAUCUGUUCAUGUGAGUGAAGUGAAGUUAGAUCUGCCAUGAGACGGCAGUAAAUCAUUGUAAUAUCGCAGCUCAGGAGCUAGCUAGCCAGGGAACUACGAGUCGCAUAGCUCCUUCCUAAGUUCCUCCCGUCUGAACGCAUUGGAACAGAGAGCAAGGAGAUAGAUGCCUUGUUUCCCUCAAGCUAAAGGAAUUAACUAUUGCAUCGGUAACAGACAAUCGCUAUUUUUCUUCCUUCCCUGCGCGAUGACGGUUGUUUCCUAGACCUUUGGAAGCUCAAAGCCCGAGAUAAUGGGAAUGAUUCAAAACAGACCGUACCGGUAAAUUUGAAAUUCGCAGCGAUCUGGGAUGAGAGUCAGAGAUCAGGGUGAUUUUCAAAGCCAAACUGAUCCACUCUCGUUCCAAAGGGAGUGUGGCUGGACACGUUACACCCACUGUAUUAUUAAGGGUAUAAACCGUGUCUGGAAGACGAUCCCGCCAGGCACAGAAGCUAACACGUCGGAAGCAUUGCUAUAUGAAAGAACAAUGAGUUUGUCUGUCAAUGAACCCCUCAAAUUGCAGACGUUUCUUUGGGCGUCUAGAUAUAGAUGGCAUUCCCUGAUCUUGGCAAACACCAUAGGUUCCUACGAACGGCGGCAGUUUCAGGCUAAUGCCUCAGGAAACGGAGGAAUCACCAAACUGGAUCAAAUUCAUGGACCAGUGAGUGCAGAAUUUUGUCUCUGUCAGUGGUCAGCACCCAGAUGCUUCAGAGGAAGAUGCAAGUAACCUUACAUUAGGCAGAAGGGAGGUAAUCUGCCCUCUAUAUUAAAU
rnacentral:lncRNA from 1 species